UAUGAAGAACGUAGCGAAAUGCGAUAAGUAAUGUGAAUUGCAGAAUUCAGUGAAUCAUCGAAUCUUUGAACGCACAUUGCGCCCAUCAGUAUUCUGUUGGGCAUGCCUGUCCGAGCGUCAUUUCAACCCUCAGGGCCCGUUCGCGGGAACUGGUGUUGGGGAUCGGCCUCCCCCCGGAGGCCGGCCCCGAAAUGCAGUGGCGGCUCUACCGCGAUCUCCUCUGUGUAGUAGCGAUACCUCGCAGCUGGAUAGUGGUGGUGCCACGCCGUAAAAUCCCAACUUUACCAAGGUUGACCUCGGAUCAGGUAGGAAUACCCGCUGAACUUAAGCAUAUCAAUAAGCGGAGGA
rnacentral:misc_RNA from 1 species